ACCGUCACCACACGCACACGGCACACACACCUUCUUCGUCCCCUUCACCCCCUGCCGCUAGCCUCUCCCUCCCCUCGGUCGUAGCCAUGGAGACCACUUCCCCUGCCUCUUCACCUGGGCACACCUCCCUCCCAGCUGCUGCAGGUAGGACUAAGUAGUAAAUAGCCAUAUACAUAGGUUGAGUGGAUCGUUAAGAGACGGUAGCCAUAUACAUAGGAGUACUGGAUAGUAUACAAGAACGGUAGAUACAGGGCAGGGGACAUGAUGCUGGGAAAGAGAUCUGGGCGCCGGCGUCCGACCCGGUGGUGCCGCUGCCGCCCAGCGGCGCGGGCUCCGACAAACCAGGCACGCUCGCCGCCGCAUCCUGAUUAGUCAUGAGGGAGGGGGUCGGAGGCGAUCGAUGAUCCGACUCCGGCUAAGCUAGCAGCUCUGGCCUCGCCACCACACACAUCACAUGCAUAUUAUCUAUCUUUCUAUAUAUGUAAUAUGCUCAGAUCACUCUUGCUAUGUUCAUCUGCGUGCUCCAAUCAUAUCAUUCUUUUU
rnacentral:lncRNA from 7 species